rnacentral:rRNA from 1 species
AGUAACGCGUAAGGAACCUGCCUUUUAGAGGGGAAUAACAAUGAGAAAUCAUUGCUAAUACCGCAUAUGCCAUAGUUAUCACAUGAUAACAGUGGGAAAGGAGCAAUUCGCUAAAAGAUGGCCUUGCGUCUGAUUAGAUAGUUGGUAAGGUAACGGCUUACCAAGUCGACGAUCAGUAGCCGGACUGAGAGGUUGAACGGCCACAUUGGGACUGAGAUACGGCCCAGACUCCUACGGGAGGCAGCAG